rnacentral:rRNA from 1 species
AGUGAACGCUGGCGGUAGGCCUAACACAUGCAAGUCGAACGGCAGCACAGUAAGAGCUUGCUCUUACGGGUGGCGAGUGGCGGACGGGUGAGGAAUACAUCGGAAUCUACUUUUUCGUGGGGGAUAACGUAGGGAAACUUACGCUAAUACCGCAUACGACCUACGGGUGAAAGCAGGGGAUCUUCGGACCUUGCGCGAUUGAAUGAGCCGAUGUCGGAUUAGCUAGUGGGCGGGGUAAAGGCCCACCAAGGCGACGAUCCGUAGCUGGUCUGAGAGGAUGAUCAGCCACACUGGAACUGAGACACGGUCCAGACUCCUACGGGAGGCAGCAGUGGGGAAUAUUGGACAAUGGGCGCAAGCCUGAUCCAGCCAUACCGCGUGGGUGAAGAAGGCCUUCGGGUUGUAAAGCCCUUUUGUUGGGAAAGAAAAGCAGCAGGUUAAUACCCCGCUGUUCUGACGGUACCCAAAGAAUAAGCACCGGCUAACUUCG